rfam:Schistosoma rodhaini strain Burundi genome assembly, scaffold: SROB_scaffold0000210
AUCCAGAUGACCAGUUCUAAGUAGGACGAAACGCUCGUCCUAGAU